rnacentral:rRNA from 1 species
AAAUUGAAGAGUUUGAUCAUGGCUCAGAUUGAACGCUGGCGGCAGGCCUAACACAUGCAAGUCGAACGGUAACAGGAAACAGCUUGCUGUUUCGCUGACGAGUGGCGGACGGGUGAGUAAUGUCUGGGAAACUGCCUGAUGGAGGGGGAUAACUACUGGAAACGGUAGCUAAUACCGCAUAAUGUCGCAAGACUAAAGAGGGGGACCUUCGGGCCUCUUGCCAUCGGAUGUGCCCAGAUGGGAUUAGCUAGUAGGUGGGGUAACGGCUCACCUAGGCGACGAUCCCUAGCUGGUCUGAGAGGAUGACCAGCCACACUGGAACUGAGACACGGUCCAGACUCCUACGGGAGGCAGCAGUGGGGAAUAUUGCACAAUGGGCGCAAGCCUGAUGCAGCCAUGCCGCGUGUAUGAAGAAGGCCUUCGGGUUGUAAAGUACUUUCAGCGGGGAGGAAGGGAGUAAAGUUAAUACCUUUACUCAUUGACGUUACCCGCAGAAGAAGCACCGGCUAACUCCGUGCCAGCAGCCGCGGUAAUACGGAGGGUGCAAGC